CUUAAAUUUCCAUGCAAAAGUGGUAAAGAUGGUAUCUUUAACUUAGUCCACCUGAUCUUGACUUUGCCUAAGUGGAGGUGACCUUUAGUGGGACAAAUAUCCUCCUAUAUACAGUUCCUAUCCUGAGUACAAUGUUUCCUCUUGCAUAAUUAGGAAUAGACCCCAAUUCUCCCAAUGAAGAUCUGGUUUCCCAAUACUUCACUUACCUUCUUUUUGAAUGUUAAUACUUUAGAAUUGCCACAAAGAACACAAUUAUAAAAGAACAUUCUUUGCAUGUUCUCCUUGCAUUCUGAGAUGUUGUCAAGGGCCAUGACUUUCAGGAGCAGCCGAAGGAGAUGCUUGUGCUUGUCUGGUGUUUCCUAGCCAGGGAGCUCAACGGACACUCAUGACCCAAGAGUUGAGGAUGUCCUAGUCCUGGGGCUGAAUGGACUGUCUGAGAAGAGCACUGGCAACAUGGAGUGGCAGGCGGAUAGUGGCAGAAGCAUAAAUAUAAACAGGAAUGGCUGAGGUUGUAAUUCAGUGGUAGAGCAAGUCCUGGUUUCAGUCCCCAGCUGUGGGGGAAGCGUAUGUGACUAUAAAAUCAGGGAUGAAGCUGGGCAUGGUGGUGCACACUUGUGAUUCCAGUGACUCCAGAGUCUGAGGCAGAAGGAUCACAAGUGCAAGGCCCUAAGUAACUUAGCGAGACUCUGUCUUAAAAAGGGCUGGAGAUAUAGCUCAGUGGUUAAAUGCUGCUGGUUUAAUCCUCAGUAUAAUAAAAUAAAAUAAACUCAGGGAUUCAGACCACAAUUCAAUGGCAUAUCUUGUGAAUGAUGUAUGUUCACAAAACAUCUUUUAUUUAUUUUGUGGUAGUGGCCUUGCCCAUCCUAAACAGGUGUUUUGCUACUAAACUAUACCUUAAUCCUUUAUAAAAAGCCUUUUAAAGAAGAGCAUUGUAGUAGUAAUAAAACUACAGGACUUAACAGUAAUGAAAGCUUUCCGAGUAAGUCAAAGACCUAGCAUUAGAGAUGAGAGGAGGUAGCUCAAGAAAGAACAGCAAUUAUUAAGGGAAAGAACUGAUGGUCUUAUGACAAACUUGUCUUCAUUCAAGAAAACAAUUUGUGUUUGUAGAAAGAAGAGUAGCUUGAAAUUUCCCCAUUUUAUGACCUUGUUAGGAAGACUGAAACACAGGGGGCUGGGGAAAGGAUGGCUGGAGCCCUAGUGGAAAUGAUAAGCAAUUAUAAGCAGAAAACUCUUUACCAGUUACUACCAGAGAUUGCUGCCAGUUUUGAUGGUAGAGCUGCAAAUGUCUAGUAUGCAGUUACAGCUUCUAAAACUAAUUUAGAUAUGGGGCUUUCAAAAGACUUUUUUAAAGGGAAAGGAAAAUUCAUGUUUUAGUUGUGAUAUCAUUGGUCUAUUUUUUUUUUCUUAUCUGUACUAAGAAUUGAAUAAUAAGGUUAUUAACUGUAACUCUUUAACUCUGUGACCUUGGGCAACUCUUUUGGCUUCUCUAAGCCUCAUUUCCACAUCUGUAAAAAAUGGUGAUACUUUGUAGAAUUGUAAAGAUUAAAUAAGAUUACAGAUAUUGA
rnacentral:lncRNA from 1 species